rnacentral:misc_RNA from 1 species
AAGACUAUAGACCUGCGGAGUACCUGCGGAAGGAUCAUUAUCUAUAACCGGGUGUGGCUGCGGCCUCCGGGGGCGUGGGCGUCGAGAUGAUGCCCUCUCUUCCGGGUGGUAGAGGUAAAACUCUCACGCGCCACAUGUCUGAAUCCUUUUUUUACGAGCACCUUUCGUUCUCCUUCGGUGGGGUGACCUGCCGUUGGAACCCAUCAAAACUCUUUUUGCAUCUAGCAUUACCUGUUCUGA